rnacentral:rRNA from 1 species
GGUCCCACCUGAUCCCAUGCCGAACUCAGAAGUGAAACGCCGUAGCGCCGAUGGUAGUGUGGGGUCUCCCCAUGCGAGAGUAGGUCAUCGUCAAGC